CCUACGGGGGGCAGCAGUGAGGAAUAUUGGUCAAUGGGAGGAAUCCUGAACCAGCCAAGUCGCGUGCAGGAUGACGGCCCUACGAGUUGUAAACUGCUUUUGUACGGGGGUAAAAUGCUCCACGAGUAGGGUUUUGUAAGUACCGCAUGAAUAAGGACCGGCUAAAUCCGUGCCAGCAGCCGCGGUAAUACGGAAGAUCCGGGCGUUAUCCGGAUUUAUUGGGUUUAAAGGGUGCGUAGGCCGUAUUAUAAGGUUGCGGUGAAAUACCGAGGCUCAACCACGGCGCUGCGGCUGAAACUGGCGGACUUGAGUGCGAGUGCAGUAGGCGGAAUGCGUGGUGUAGCGGUGAAAUGCAUAGAUAUCACGCAGAACACCGAUUGCGAAGGCAGCAUGCGGGAGCGCUACUGACGCUGAAGCACGAAGGCGUGGGGAUCGAACAGGAUUAGAUACCCGAGUAGUC
rnacentral:rRNA from 1 species